AUUGAACGCUGGCGGCAUGCUUUACACAUGCAAGUCGAACGGUAACAGGCCUUCGGGCGCUGACGAGUGGCGAACGGGUGAGUAAUGCAUCGGAACGUGCCCAGUCGUGGGGGAUAACGCAGCGAAAGCUGCGCUAAUACCGCAUACGAUCUGUGGAUGAAAGCGGGGACCGUAAGGCCUCGCGCGAUUGGAGCGGCCGAUGUCAGAUUAGGUAGUUGGUGGGGUAAAGGCUCACCAAGCCAACGAUCUGUAGCUGGUCUGAGAGGACGACCAGCCACACUGGGACUGAGACACGGCCCAGACUCCUACGGGAGGCAGCAGUGGGGAAUUUUGGACAAUGGGGCAACCCUGAUCCAGCAAUGCCGCGUGCAGGAAGAAGGCCUUCGGUUGUAACUGCUUUGUACGGAACGAAAAGGCUCUGGCUAAUACCUGGGGCACAUGACGGCACCGUAAGAAUAAGCACCGGCUAACUACGUGCCAGCAGCCGCGGUAAUACGUGGGGUGCAAGCGUUAAUCGGAAUUACUGGGCGUAAAGCGUGCGCAGGCGGUGCUGUAAGACAGGCGUGAAAUCCCCGGGCUCAACCUGGAAUUGCGCUUGUGACUGCAGUGCUGGAGUGCGGCAGAGGGGAUGGAAUUCCGCGUGUAGCAGUGAAAUGCGUAGAUAUGCGGAGGAACACCGAUGGCGAAGGCAAUCCCCUGGGCCUGCACUGACGCUCAUGCACGAAAAGCGUGGGGGAGCAAAA
rnacentral:rRNA from 1 species